AGACUAGGAUUGAGGAGUUGGCAGGGCUGCAUUUCUUCUGGAGGCUCUGUGGAAGUAGCUGUUUACUUGCCUCUUCCAGCUUCUCAAAGUCAGUAAUGGCAGUAAAUACCUUCACUAUAGAGGUCCUUGGAUGUAUAUGUACUGCUCCAUCUGUUCUCAAGACUACAUUUGAACACAGUAUGUGUAUGUGGACCAUCAAGCACAUAAUAGCCUACCCACAUUGGAUUAUUCUGAAGCAAACCCAGGACAUUAUAGUAUUCCAUCUGUAAAUAUUUCAAUAUGUAUCUAAAAACACCUAAAAAGGAUGCUUUUCACCCCCUAACAUUACCACACAUAAAAAAAAACUUAAUAUCAAAUAUCCAAGUAUUGCUAAUUCAAUAGGUUCUUGGCUCUUAGAUUCUAAUUUCAAAUUUUUUUUUAAACUUAAAGCGAUCCUUUGCGUUUAGAGGCAGUAUGUUGAAAUAGCUGAAGAGUGAGUAAUGCCUGCAACUAACUCAAAUGGUUCAGCAUAAAGAAAGAAAGCAAGUUUACCAUUGGUGAACUGAAGCAAAGGGGCGUGGAUAUUCACUGUAAUAUUCUUGCAAGUUUUCUGAAGGUUUGACAUUUUUCAAAAUAGGAAGUGGGGAAAAAUUAGUGGCAGGUAUGCAUCAAUGUGCACCUUGACUUAUAGAAUAGAGCCAUUCUAAGAUAUAUGUAAAGGGAAAUUUUGUAGAUUAAGUCUUCUGUAUACUCCUUCAGUGGAUCUCUAACUUUAGCGUGCAAAAUUAGCUCGAGGGCUUGUGAAACCAGAUGGCAUCUCCGGAAUUCUGAUCCAGUAGAACUAAAGUGGGGCCGAGAAUCCGAAUUUCUUAUCUAUUCCUAGGUGAUGCUGGUACCGCUGGUCCAGCGAAGACACUUUGAGAACCAGUGUCCCACAGUACAAGCUUUCUAAAGGAAUUGGAUUAAAACCUGCUAUUCAGAAAACCAAACUUGAAAGGUGUUAAUCAGCUAUUCGUAAUAAAAACACAAACCAAAUAAGCAUUAUGCCUAAAUGAGCAGAUCUACGGCAGAUUUGAAGCGUGUGGCCUGUAGCUGUAGGCGCACUAAGCAGAAAGAAUUUUAAUGAGAUGUUUAAGGGGAGGAG